rnacentral:rRNA from 1 species
GCUGUCACUUACAGAUGGGCCCGCGGCGCAUUAGCUAGUUGGUGAGGUAACGGCUCACCAAGGCCACGAUGCGUAGCCGACCUGAGAGGGUGAUCGGCCACACUGGGACUGAGACACGGCCCAGACUCCUACGGGAGGCAGCAGUAGGGAAUCUUCCGCAAUGGACGAAAGUCUGACGGAGCAACGCCGCGUGAGCGAUGAAGGCCUUCGGGUCGUAAAGCUCUGUUGUUAGGGAAGAACAAGUAUCGGAGUAACUGCCGGUACCUUGACGGUACCUAACCAGAAAGCCACGGCUAACUACGUGCCAGCAGCCGCGGUAAUACGUAGGUGGCAAGCGUUGUCCGGAAUUAUUGGGCGUAAAGCGCGCGCAGGCGGUCCUUUAAGUCUGAUGUGAAAGCCCACGGCUCAACCGUGGAGGGUCAUUGGAAACUGGGGGACUUGAGUGCAGAAGAGGAGAGUGGAAUUCCACGUGUAGCGGUGAAAUGCGUAGAGAUGUGGAGGAACACCAGUGGCGAAGGCGACUCUCUGGUCUGUAACUGACGCUGAGGCGCGA